rnacentral:tRNA from 3 species
UGUAGAAUGUGGUGUAUUUUGGGUAGCACGAAGAAUUUUGAAUUCUUAGGGGUAGGUUCAAUUCCUAUUGUUCUAG